rnacentral:rRNA from 1 species
GACUGAGUAAAGCGGCGGACGGGUGAGUAAUGCUUGGGAAUCUACCUAGUAGUGGGGGAUAACGUGUGGAAACGCACGCUAAUACCGCAUACGUCCUACGGGAGAAAGCAGGGGACCUUCGGGCCUUGCGCUAUUAGAUGAGCCCAAGUCGGAUUAGCUAGUUGGUAGGGUAAAGGCCUACAAGGCGACGAUCCGUAGCUGGUCUGAGAGGAUGAUCAGCCACACUGGGACUGAGACACGGCCCAGACUCC